rnacentral:snoRNA from 1 species
GCUGGUGUAAGUGAUGACUGAACUUUUUUCCCCAUCAGAGCGACAGUGUUGAUUUCUUAACUGUUCAAGCCAGAUCACAUCUGAUACACCAGC